GCCCAGACUCCUACGGGAGGCAGCAGUGGGGAAUAUUGCACAAUGGGGGGAACCCUGAUGCAGCGACGCCGCGUGGGUGAAGAAGUAUUUCGGUAUGUAAAGCCCUAUCGGCAGGGAAGAAAUUGGACGGUACCUGACUAAGAAGCCCCGGCUAACUACGUGCCAGCAGCCGCGGUAAUACGUAGGGGGCAAGCGUUAUCCGGAUUCACUGGGUGUAAAGGGAGCGUAGACGGCCAUGCAAGCCUGGAGUGAAAGCCCGGGGCCCAACCCCGGGACUGCUCUGGGAACUGUGCGGCUGGAGUGCGGGAGGGGCAGGCGGAAUUCCUGGUGUAGCGGUGAAAUGCGUAGAUAUCAGGAGGAACACCGGCGGCGAAGGCGGCCUGCUGGACCGCGACUGACGUUGAGGCUCGAAAGCGUGGGGAGCAAACAGGAUUAGAUACCCCGGUA
rnacentral:rRNA from 1 species